rnacentral:tRNA from 2 species
GCCCACUUAGCUCAGUUGGUAGAGCAGACGCUUCGUAAGUGUCAGAUCAGUGGUUCGAACCCACUAGUGGGCUCCA